UGAAAUGACAAAGAUAUUUAUUGGAGUGUACACAUCAUAUACAGUUGUUGGACAAAGAAAUCACAGACUAAUUGAUGCCUUCAUCAAGAAAUGGAUUCUUACAAAUAUUUGUACAAUAAUAGUUUAAAAACAAAUACAAUUUUCUUGAACUAAAUAAAACCAAUUAAAACUUUGAAACAAUUAGAACAUGAUUACAAUUUAUAUUUAGAAUAAUGAAAAGAUAUGUAAGAGUGGAAAGUUGCAAUACCUAAAUAGAAACAAGAUGACCUUGAACUAUCUUGUUAUUCCAAAAGAUCACUGGUGUACUCCAGAACUGAACUCCUAACAAUGAUGACAAAGCCAAAUUAAAAACAAAGAAUGAUUAUUCAUGUGACUACUGAUACCACUACAAUGAAGUUGAGAAACCAAAGUAAAAAAAAGUUGAACAAAUCUAGAUAGCUCUAUUUACAAGAGAAUUCUUGAGCUAUACAAGUUCAUUUGGUAGUUAAACCACUUUCUGUUUUUAUGCCUUUAAUUAUGUACACAGGAAACAAUUACAUUCACCAUUACCCUGUUAUAAAUUUGUUUAGCCACACUGUUCCAUGGUUUGAAUGAUAUUAUAAUAGUUAUGUAUGGAAAAAAAUAUAUAUAUAUAAAAAUUGCACAUCACAUGUCUCUCUAUCUAGUUAUGCUGGAUGACUUUAUUUUAGGCCUAAUGUUAACAGUGCAACACCAUAUUUCCUCACAUUUUAAGUAGGAGGUACACACGUUUUGAAGGGCUUGGUGUUGUGAGUAGAUUAUGGUCAGGAAAUAAAGUUUCUCCAAAGAAGAUUGUACAUUGAUUAUAUAUCUAUUAUACAAGUGAGAACAUUCAUACCAUAUCUUACUGGUGCCAUUUUUCAUUUUGCAUGAAAAUAAAUUAUACAGUUUACAUUUUUCAAACCACAGCAAAAUUACAUCAAGUCACAAAACUAAUUUGGUUUAUUGCUUCACUUCAUGUAUCUACAGGACUUGUGCAUACACAUUUCAAACUCCAACUAUCAAGAAGUUUGUUUUUUAUCAAGUCCUUAAAAAUAUUUACUCAACUGGCUUAAGCAUAGCAAUGUUAUUUAGUCUAAUGAGGGUUUCCUACCUAAGUUCAUUUAUAUCAGUAAAUCAUUCUAUUUAUCAGCACAAUCUCCCAAUACAAGAUUCAAAUGAAGACUUCAAAACAUUUCUGCACUACCAUAUAUUCCUCAAGAAAGAACAUUCUUGUUUCUCUACAUCUGGAUGGCUAGAAGUAGAGAAGAACAAAAGCUGGAAACAAAACACUCCUUUCAAAAAAAAAAUAAAAUAUUUUCUUGAAAACUACAAAAAAAAAAAAAAAAAAU